GUUUCCAGGAUCUGGGCUAACAUCAGAGCCGCAUCUGCACCCAUAUCUGCAAUGAAGGAAGACCAGCGCAGUCUACAAAUGGGGCCGCAGAAGCAAAGAAGGUUUUGAGGCUAACCCAAGCUGGUCUAAGGGAUGCGGGGGUACAGAGAUGAGGAUAACUCAACGAACGCCUAAAGCUAGGAAGAAAAGACUGAACAAGCUCCCAUACAAAGUGAGAUCC
rnacentral:lncRNA from 1 species